rnacentral:rRNA from 1 species
UACGUAGGGGGCAAGCGUUGUCCGGAUUUAUUGGGCGUAAAGAGCUCGUAGGCGGUUCCGUAAGUCGUGAAGUCAAAUCUCUGGGCUCAACCCAGAAUCGCUUCCGAUACUGCGGUGACUGGAGUCCGGUAGGGGAGUGUGGAAUUCCUGGUGUAGCGGUGAAAUGCGCAGAUAUCAGGAGGAACACCAACAGCGAAGGCAGCACUCUGGGCCGGUACUGACGCUGAGGAGCGAAAGCUAGGGGAGCAAACGGG